AACGCGAAGAACCUUACCAGCUUUUGACAUGCCCUGGACGGAAGACAGAGAUGUCUUCUUCUCUUCGGAGCCGGGGACACAGGUGCUGCAUGGCUGUCGUCAGCUCGUGUCGUGAGAUGUUGGGUUAAGUCCCGCAACGAGCGCAACCCUCGCCCUUAGUUGCCAUCAUUCAGUUGGGCACUCUAGGGGGACUGCCGGUGAUAAGCCGGAGGAAGGUGGGGAUGACGUCAAGUCCUCAUGGCCCUUACAGGCUGGGCUACACACGUGCUACAAUGGCGGUGACAACGGGAUGCGAAGGGGCGACCCCGAGCAAAUCUCGAAAAGCCGUCUCAGUUCGGAUUGCACUCUGCAACUCGAGUGCAUGAAGUUGGAAUCGCUAGUAAUCGCAGAUCAGCACGCUGCGGUGAAUACGUUCCCGGGCCUUGUACACACCGGCUAC
rnacentral:rRNA from 1 species